AAAUUUUGUGUCACUAACGAGGCACCUAAAAUGGUUUCUUAGUUCUUUACGCUCUUAAGACUGAUUUUUCAGCAGAUUUGUCUUUAACGCCAGAUCUGAGCAGCACAGACAGCAUCCCCGACGAUGUGGUUGUUCGACGAAUGGUGGCCUUAUUUGACUAUGAUCCAUGGGAAAACUCACCUAAUAUGGACAGUGAAGAUGAACUUGGCUUUCGUUCAGGGGACAUCAUAUAUGUGUUAGGAGAAAUGGAUCAAGAUGGGUUUUAUUAUGGGGAUCUGCAUGGACGACGAGGUUUGGUACCAUCAAACUUUCUCCAGCCGCUACCCUGGGAUUAGAGAAAAACACCACGCCAGGAUGUUUGCUAUCGAUGCCAAGACUCGGGCACAAAUCAAUGAGUUUGAUAAGAAAUAAUGAAAUGUGUUAUGUAUGUAUCAGUUUUUUAAUUGUUCCUAUUAAAUAAUGGCACUGUGUCUGCUUUAGACAGCAAAUAAAUGAGGGUGUAUAGAAACAAGCAGCUAAUUAACCCAGUUUAUUACCAAUAUUCCCGGGUUUGAUCAGGAUUCUGCAAAGUGACAAGUCAUCAUUCAUCUCUGAAAAUUCAUUUAUUCACUCAUGAAAAUUACAAAUCAUUUGAUGACAAAAAAGAAAAGAAAAAGAAAACCCAUGUUCAUCAUAGACACUUUUAUUUGUCUGGCUAUAUUCACUUUGCUCCGACUUCACUUGAACAAAAAGCCCAACAUGAGCAACACGAGUAAAUUUACUAAAUAAAUGUAGUAAAUGUAUCAUAAUAUGAACAAGCUGAAAUAUUUCAGUUAUGCCUGAUGGCAACAUUAUUUUAGCCUUAAUAAUACAGUCUCAGUUUUCUGCAGACCAGUGUUUUAAUAUGGUGUCCAUAUUUGCCUUAUAUGCAGUUUUUAUAUUUUUUUAGAAUUAAUUUGUAGUCUUUUCAAGUAUGGAGUAAAUAUUUUUUUAGUUUUUGAGUUUUUAUGUAAAACAAAACUUACAACAAAAUGUAUGAAUGAAAUGAUUAAUGUUCUGACUAAUACAGCUGUAAAUUAGGAACUGAAAAUAAACUAACUUGAGUUUAUUCAAUGCUUAGCUGCUUUCUUUUACCUAUAGCUCUCUGCUUCCACACUGUUAUAUGAUUUUACUUUACAUUAUAUUACAUACUUUUCUAUUCUGAUAGGUUUUCACAUAUAUCAUUUUGCUAUUAUUUUGUGAUAAAUGACCACAACAUAAAAUCAGAUGAGAAAAGCAAGAAAAAAGGCACAGCAGGUUUUCAUGAUGGCCCUAAUAUUUUUUAAAAUCUUUCACUCGGUCCAGUAGUUUCUUCUGUUACAGUCCUUCGCAGCCAACAGUAUACUCAUCCAUAAAGUAGGAAACACUACACUGUGCAGUAAAGUUUAGUAGUGCUUUCUACUUUAUGGGUGACAACACUGUACAUCAGCAGCUUCUUGUCGCUCCGUGCGCAAACAUCUGAAUAAAUGACAACUUGGAGAAAAACAGGUUUUCACAAAUUAAAUGUGACACAAGAACAAGCUGAAACAAUUAAUAACAAUACAACAUUAAUGACGCUUUAAACGGCGACUCCUGU